CGCGAAUGGCUCAUUACAACAGCUAUAAUUUACUUGAUCUUGACUUCCUACUUGGAUAACUGUGGUAAUUCUAGAGCUAAUACAUGCACCAAAGCUCCGACCUUACGGGAAGAGCGCAUUUAUUCGAACAAAACCAAGCGGCUUCGGCCGUCCGCAGUUGACUCAGAAUAACUAAGCUGAUCGCAUGGUCUUGCACCGGCGACGUGUCUUUCAAGUAUCUGCCUUAUCAACUUUCGAUGGUAGUGUAUCUGACUACCGUGGUGAUCACGCGCAACGGAGAAUAAGGGUUCGGCUCCGGAGAGUUCGCCUGAGAAAUCGCGAACACAUCUAAGGAAGGCAGCAGGCGCGAAAAUUACCCACUCUCAGCACGAGGGGGUAGUGACGAAAAAUAACGAGACCGUUCUCUUAUGAGGCCGGUCAUCGGAAUGGGUACAAUUUAAACCCUUUAACGAGUAUCUAUGAGAGGGCAAGUCUGGUGCCAGCAGCCGCGGUAAUUCCAGCU
rnacentral:rRNA from 1 species